UACACACGGAUAACAUACCGAAAGGUAUGCUAAUACGGGAUAAUAUAUUUGAGAGGCAUCUCUUAAAUAUCAAAGGUGAGCCAGUACAGGAUGGACCCGCGUCUGAUUAGCUAGUUGGUAAGGUAACGGCUUACCAAGGCGACGAUCAGUAGCCGACCUGAGAGGGUGAUCGGCCACAUUGGAACUGAGACACGGUCCAAACUCCUACGGGAGGCAGCAGUGGGGAAUAUUGCACAAUGGGCGAAAGCCUGAUGCAGCAACGCCGCGUGAGUGAUGAAGGCCUUCGGGUCGUAAAACUCUGUCCUCAAGGAAGAUAAUGACGGUACUUGAGGAGGAAGCCCCGGCUAACUACGUGCCAGCAGCCGCGGUAAUACGUAGGGGGCUAGCGUUAUCCGGAUUUACUGGGCGUAAAGGGUGCGUAGGCGGUCUUUCAAGUCAGGAGUGAAAGGCUACGGCUCAACCGUAGUGAGCUCUUGAAACUGGGAGACUUGAGUGCAGGAGAGGAGAGUGGAAUUCCUAGUGUAGCGGUGAAAUGCGUAGAUAUUAGGAGGAACACCAGUUGCGAAGGCGGCUCUCUGGACUGUAACUGACGCUGAGGCACGAAAGCGUGGGGAGCAAACAGGAUUAGAUACCCUGGUAGUCCACGCUGUAAACGAUGAAUACUAGGUGUCGGGGGUUACCCCCUUCGGUGCCGCAGC
rnacentral:rRNA from 1 species